rnacentral:rRNA from 1 species
AUGGCAGAGGAACUGUCCGCCAAGCGUCAUCAUGCCGAGACGUCGGACAAGAGGAGCAACCUCGUCGACAUUAACGUCCCCGGUGAGAAGCGCGGGUACACCAGAACGCUCAAAGGGGUUGAGCUCCACGGCAAGGAGACGCUGGAGAUCAUCUGCACCAGCGAACCAGACAAGGCCGACGAGGUGAUCUCCAAGCUCUGGAGGAAGCUUGGCGGCAGGAUUCGUAGGAUCAUCGGUGUUGGUGUGCACUACACCAACGAAGAUGAACCUCCCUAG